AGGGUUCGAUUCUGGCUCAGGAUGAACGCUGGCGGCGUGCCUAACACAUGCAAGUCGAGCGAUUACUUCGGUAAAGAGCGGCGGACGGGUGAGUAACGCGUGGGUAACCUGCCUCAUACACAUGGAUAACAUACCGAAAGGUAUGCUAAUACAGGAUAAUAUAAGAGAUUCACAUGGAUUUUUUAUCAAAGCUCCGGCGGUAUGAGAUGGACCCGCGUCUGAUUAGCUAGUUGGUAAGGUAAUGGCUUACCAAGGCGACGAUCAGUAGCCGACCUGAGAGGGUGAUCGGCCACAUUGGAACUGAGACACGGUCCAAACUCCUACGGGAGGCAGCAGUGGGGAAUAUUGCACAAUGGGCGAAAGCCUGAUGCCAGCAACGCCGCGUGAGUGAUGAAGGCCUUCGGGUCGUAAAACUCUGUCCUCAAGGAAGAUAAUGACGGUACUUGAGGAGGAAGCCCCGGCUAACUACGUGCCAGCAGCCGC
rnacentral:rRNA from 1 species